UGGGCGUAAGCGCACGCAGGCGGUCUGUUAAGUCAGAUGUGAAAUCCCCGGGCUUAACCUGGGAACUGCAUUUGAAACUGGCAGGCUUGAGUCUCGUAGAGGGGGGUAGAAUUCCAGGUGUAGCGGUGAAAUGCGUAGAGAUCUGGAGGAAUACCGGUGGCGAAGGCGGCCCCCUGGACGAAGACUGACGCUCAGGUGCGAAAGCGUGGGGAGCAAACAGGAUUAGAUACCCUGGUAGUCCACGCCGUAAACGAUGUCGACUUGGAGGUUGUUCCCUUGAGGAGUGGCUUCCGGAGCUAACGCGUUAAGUCGACCGCCUGGGGAGUACGGCCGCAAGGUUAAAACUCAAAUGAAUUGAC
rnacentral:rRNA from 1 species